GUCCCCAGCCUCCAGCCAGCUUCGCUAGCCAGGGACACAAUUGGAUUGCAAUUUCUAGCACUUCCUGGAGAUCAGGUCCCUGAAGAGCUAUAAAAAUCCAGCGGUGUUUCUGGCCACCUUUCCAUGUGGUUUGUAGUGCACUGUCAGUCACACACGCCUGCAGACUUUAAGGGAGGCUCUCAUAUUGCAUUACCUAUGUUGCUAGUUUCUGGCUGCCAGUUUGCAUUUCUUAGGCGGAUUUUCUGAUUCCAGGCUCGGGAGGGCUCCCCUGCACUGUAUGUAAUUGGGCACGAAGCCCGUGGUGGGGUGGAUUUGGGUAAUGGCAGGGCUGCAUUCCUCCCAUUCUUUUCUCACAGGAAAAAGUGCCUGGAUAUAACCCUGCGGUGGGGAUCGCUUACAGGAGGGGCCGG
rnacentral:lncRNA from 1 species